GCAGCCAGGUGGGCCACUGUGGCCAGACCAGCCCUACUCCCUGUUCUAGGCAGACCAAUUGGCCAAAAAGUCACAGGACACUUCCCCAGCUGCUCUCCAGGAGACUGGAGGCUUGACCUUAACCCAGUACCGUCUGGGUGGGAGUACCUGCUCAGUGAAGCCUUCUCUAGCUGGGUCUCCGGUUGUGGAGACCCAGAGCCAAGUCCCACCAGCUCCAGUUCCGCUUCAGAGACCCCCACCACCCUGAUGACAUAACAGCAGUAAGCACAAAGAGCAGGGGCCUACUGAUGGUUUACUUACUGAAUACUCUCUACACUCGACAUGGGACUCAAACUCACAACCUCAAGAUCCAGAGUCGCACUCUCUUCCAACUGAGCCAUCCAGGUGCCCCUGUAGUUUCUCAAUAGAAGCGAAUCCUAGAAUCGUUUCAGAAACAGGGUGCCUCUGUGGCUCGUAGCACAGCAGGUAUACACCGCGUGAGUCCAACAGGGGCCCGCUUUCUACUUGGAGUUCUUGACUAAGGCAUUUGCCAGGAAACCCUGAGGUCACACCACUCAUUAGCCUGAGAGCCACUGCUAGGCCCUGACUCUCCCCCCACCCCGCCCCCCCUCAGAUGAAUCUGUUCCAAGAAGUCAGUCCGGCCCCUGGGGAGCGGAUGGGAAUGGAUGCGUGCGCACACCCUUGCCACUUCUGUGAAUCAGACUCUGCAAAAACAACCUCGGUCUCCAGCCAACAUAAACCAUAGGCAACAGAGGGCCUUAUACGGCUCGAAGCUUUCUUAAUCAGAAAAAGAUAGAUGGGCUGGAGUUGGCAGCUCCAAGUUAGAGGAAAAGAGAAACAGAAAAAUAGGGAGAAAGACAGGAUGGUGGUGGGGAGCAGAACUUCAUCAAACUUUUUCCUAUCUCUUCGAUGUCAGUGGCUCCCCAGUGAGAGUUCCUAGUGAGGGCCAUAGCUCUGCUGCCUCUCAUGUUUUGUUUUGGUUUGGUUUUUAAGCCAGAGGAUACCAGUAAUCAGGCUGCCAGCAGAGCCACAGUUUUACAAAGUUUUAGUGUCUGCGUGGAGGUCUGUUCUUGGGUCCAGUGACUUCCCAUGAAAAUGGCAUAAUGUCAUUUCCAGAGAUAUUGGCCACUGGGGCAACAAGGGGUCCUAAAACUAGGGAGUUCUUCGGCUCCCGAGCUGUCUGUGUCAUAGGCCCGCCUGGCCCAGGAUCGGCCACAGAUCCAGAACAGAAAAGGAAGCCCCAGAGACCCCUUAGGCAGCCACUGCCCCAAGCACACCCAUGACAGUUUCUACGGUGACUUUAUUCUCCUUCCUCCCCUGACUGGGAGACAGCAGCAGCGUCCGCAACAGGACCUGCCUGUUUGCUGAAGCCAAAGCCACAUGCACUUGGCCCUCCCAAAGGAUGCCACCUGCUAAAAAUAGCAUGACAGCACAAGCUUGGCUGGGUGGGCCUCACCAAAGUCAAAGGACAAAGCAAAGAGGUUAUUCUCAGCACAGCCUUUUCUCACCGGAGCCCAAGGCACAUCAGGGUGUGGCAAAAGUCACUCCAGCUCCUUCCCCUUGGGAGGGACAUGAGGAAGGGAUGAGAAGGAGAUCCGUGGAAGACUGAACUGGCCUUCAGAUCCACUGUCCCAGGCCGAGGCUGGAGGAAAAGGGGUGGGCAUGCUGAGGACUGGGCUCCAGCAGAUAUGUGGCCUCCUCCAACAGAGACAGACCAGGCUACACCCAGGCGACAGCCUGUUGAGGGCCAGGGAAUGGGUCUCAUGACCUCCAUGUGAGGUCUGACAGGCCACAUUAUUAUUAGCCAAGGAAUGAGUGACUUCAAGGUUGUCUUUUCAAGCAGGUGACUGAGCUACACCGUGGCCUUCAGAGCAGCUUUCCAGGCCCUCAGGCACAGCAGCCUAGCCUACGAGGCUGUCUUAGUCAUUAUUCGUGCAGCUCUAAGGCACUGGACGGUUGCAUAAUUCGGAGCUAAAACAUGAUUUUGGAAAGACAAAGUAGGAUCCUGAACUUGUUUCCCGUAAAACGAAAAUAUCCUGUGAAAUGGAUUACAAAUACCUCCCUCAUAGGGCUGUAAUGAGGCAGACAGGACUCAAAACACCGAACAGCCUGACUCCAUUUGUGAGAUGAAGUAUUUUAAUCUCCUAAAAACUCAGCUUUAUUUUCCGGAUGAGGAUGGAAGGAUAUCACAGGGCAGUAAAUAAGAAAUGGCCUCUAAGCAUGGAGCUGGAGAGAGAACCCUGAUCUGAGUACAAACCAGCCUGGGUCCAGGGACCAGCUUAGCUUUCUCAGGGCCUCAGUUUCCUCCCACACAAACUAGAAGUACUUAACCUCAUAGGGUUGAGAUAAAAUAAGAAGGGAAUACACCUGAUCUUGAACAACACAGCUUUAAACAGCAUGCAUCCACUUGUAUGCAGAUUUCUGGAUAUAGUACAGCCCUGUGUUUUCUCUCUUAUUAUUUUCUUAAUAACAUUUGCUCUUUUCUGGCUUACUUUAUUGUAAAAAUACAGUAUACAAUACAUAUUACAAAAUAUGUGUUCACUGACUACCUAUGUUCCCAUAAGGGUUCCAGUACACAGUAGGUUCUUAGUAGUUCCAUUUCUGGGGAGCCA